UGGAGUAUGUAUCCACAAAGCAAGGAAACUCUGGGGAUUGCCGAGAGCCACCCGGAGCUGGUAGACAGGCGUAGAAUAGAUUCCCUCCGAGCCCCAGAAUGUGCGGGCUCAACCAAACCUUAAUUUUGUACUUCCGGCCUCUGGAAUUGUGAGAAAAUAAAGUCCUGUCAUGGCUUUGUGAUAAUUUGUUACAGCAGCCCUAGGAAACGACUGUGACAUUACUAGUGCAAGAGAAUGAGACAGGAUGGGACCAACACUCACAUCUGAGACGAGAAACACAGAGCUAAGUUUACCGCUCACUACGGUCGGAAACGCUGUGCGGGGCCACGUACCUUCUCGAGGAGAGCAGGUGAGACUGUGGUUGUUACUGAAAUUGCCUGGACAGCCUACUGGGAACCAGGGCAGAAAUGAUACACAAUCCACCUGCCCUUGCCUUCUGACAGUCUAUUUUCCAAGAAGCAUUGCACUGAUUUGCAAUGAAAAGUCUACAAUAAAAAGAAAUCGACCCAUCUGCUGAUCACCGGAGCCCGAUGUAAUCAAAGGGACAGACAACGAAAAAAUCAGAUGACUUAGAAGGUGACAAGUGCCAGAAGGUGAAGAAAGCAUCGGGGUAUAAACAAGACAGUAAGUAUCCUUGAGCAGAGGGUAAUCAAAUUCGAGUAGAAUAAGAUGCUAAAUCUCUUGUCGUUAAUGGAAGUGUUCACUAUUUUCAGGUGAAGCUCGUGUUGGAUACAACAGUCUCCACUUUCCCCAGAUUACAGAAUUGGCUGAGGUUAGUGAGUAUCACACUUUGGCACACAUUAGAAUCAUCAGGAGGGCACAGACACCUGCCUAAUUAAUGAGGCGCUGUGUCCAACACGGUGAGAGUUUAAUUAGCAGUGACUAUGAUCAUUGUUAGCGAGCUCAUUCU